rnacentral:pre_miRNA from 10 species
CAUUUUGAAUUUACUGGGUGGGUGUAAAUACAAAAUUUACAACAUGAUAACUUGUAUAUUUACACCCACCUAGUAAAUUCAAAA